UACGUAGGGUCCGAGCGUUUGUCCGGAAUUAUUGGGCGUAAAGGGCUCGUAGGCGGUCUGUCGCGUCGGGAGUGAAAACUUACAGCUUAACUGUGAGCGUGCUUUCGAUACGGGCAGACUUGAGGCAUUCAGGGGAGAACGGAAUUCCUGGUGUAGCGGUGAAAUGCGCAGAUAUCAGGAGGAACACCGGUGGCGAAGGCGGGUCUCUGGGCCGAUACUGACGCUGAGGAGCGAAAGCGUGGGGAGCGAACAGG
rnacentral:rRNA from 1 species